CAACCUCGCACUCAAGGUCCGUAAGAUCAAGGAAGUGAUUGUGGACUUCAGGAAGGUCAGAUUCACUUCCUCGGGUCAAACUCUGAGUUGUCAUUGCAGUCUUAGUUCAAUAAAGUGCAAUGAUUCUAACACUUGGAAUUGGAAAUUUUAUCAACGCUCGAUUAGUUCCGUCUGUUACUCCCUGUGAGUACAAUGCAAUCGCC